GAAACCGGCUCCCCUGAGUCACGGUACUAGUACAUGUGAAACAACUGGAAAUACAUGGGUUUCUCCUGUAUCUCGGGGUACUCCUGUGUAUUUUCCAGUCACCUGGUAAAUUCUGUAACAUAAAAAUGAUUCACUCGCUGCAACCACCUCUGCCACUGCAGCUUCUUCUCCAGGCUCCUCCAAUUCUCGCUUUAAAAAAAAAUCCGCUGCACAGGAUCACCAGUGUGCCCCACCAUGGCGACACUGCCCUGGACACCAGCUCUGAGAUCACCACCGAGGACUUAAAGGAGAAGAAGGAAGUGUGGAGGAGGCAGAGUACAGAAACAAUGCACCUGUGAAUGGGAACGCUAAUGUGGAAAAUGGGGAGCAGGAGGCUGACCAUGAGGUGAUGGUGAGGAAGAGGAUGGAGAUGAAGAUGAGGAGGUUGAGGCAGCUACAGGCAAAUGGGCAGCUGCAGAUGAUAAGGAUGACGAUGUUGACACCAAGAAGCAGAAGACCGAUGAGGAUGA